AGAAGCCUGGUUUGUGUCUCCAGAUUAUGUUGUUACAGCCUCAAUAGACCAGAGCAUAUCUGUAUGGAAGUUGACUGUAGAAAACACAGAAAUACAGCUGAUGAUGACUGGUUGUGUAUUUACAAGUGUCUCUGAUGUUGCCAACAUUGAUAUAUGGAAGGAAAGCGGUCACUACUGUCUAUUUGUCAGUGGAAAUGGAAUGGAGGUCUUCCACCUUGAAACAUAUGGACAGUCUGUGGAUCCUGUAUUGACAGAUAUUCUGACCAAGAUAGUGACUUAAGUUUGCAUGACUUUAAGGCAUAAGAGUUAUAUGGUGUAUAUGUUACUUCAGGGAAUGAUGUCACACAGUGCUACCGGAUAUACUUACACAAACAACCAAUAAAUGUUAGUGCAUGAUUUGAGGGAUGUUGUGACACUUGAAUUUUCCUUUAUUCAUCUGUCUGUCUAGGUAGCAAAAUUUGUGAUUGAACCGCUGUCAUAGAGCCAUGAAACUUUGAAAGGAACAGUAU